GCCGCUGGGGAGCGACGUGCCGUUCCCGCCGCCACUAAAGCGCUUCCGAGUCACCAUCGCUCGGCGGGGAAGUGGGAGGCGGCCUAGGAAGGGGAGGAAGGCUGCGUCGAGAGCUCUGCCAGCUGCACGCGUGGCCGCGGCACGGCUCGCAGGAGGGGAGAGACCUAGUACCUCUUGCUGCUGUGGUCUUGGUAAUAUUAGACUGAUGGAAUCAUGCCUCCAGCUGAAGACCGUUCAUGUUUGUUGAUGGGAAUAAGUUCCCAGAUCCCAGCUUGGGAACAUGCUGCUGGCACGUUAUAAAGCCCAUCUUUGCCUUCUCAGUAUUAGCAUGACAGCAUGUGCAUUUUAGAGGUACCUCAGAAUUGAAUUAUUCUUAAUACAGUGGCCCUACUGGAUGAAAAGAAAAUAAUCUUCUGUUUUCCAAAUGCCCAAGUUUGUUCUUUGCAACAACAUGUUUUACUGUGGAAAAAUGAAAGAAGGAUCUUUCUGGACACUUUAAAGAUAGCUGGUGGACUUAGCAAAAUGCUUUGUUUGAGGAAGGUUUGCUUGUUUCCACUGAGACGUUACCAAGCUCGAACUCUGAGUAGUGAUCUGCUUUUGAGCCAGAUAAAUAACUGCACCCAUGAAGAUGAAGUGUUCAGUCUUGUUGGAAGGAACAAGGCCAGGCUUUCUGAAAAACAUGUGGGAAUUGCGCUGAAUGUGCUGUGGCAAUUGCAAAAGAAGAGGCCCCUUCUAUUAAGGACUAGUGACUAUGUAAGAAAUCACUCCCAGUUUCUUGCUCUUUGCAUUUUAGCAGAAAACAAGGUACAACACAUGGAAGAUGAGGUGAUAGUGGACACCCUGUACAGUAUUCAGAGGCUCAAUGUUGAAGACCAUGAUUCUCUAGCAGAAGUGCUUGUUACAGAAGCAUGGAAAAGAUUAGAAAGACUUAGUUUACCAGCUCUAUCGAAAUUUGCACUGUGUUUAUACAAGCAGCGCAGACAGUUUAGUCCCCUAAUUGGCAAAAUAGCUCAUAUUGUGGACAUGAAACUGGAUUCUAUAGAGGAUAUAAGGAUUUUGUCAGUUUUGAUGAUCAGCAUAUCUGAUGUUAUCUCACAGAGUUUUCGAGAUCGAUUACUACAGAAGGCUGAACAGCUCUUAGGAGAAGAGGAUGAAGUCUACUUCAAUUACGCCAAAAGAGUAACACAGUUUCUUCAAAAUGUUAAACUGACGUACUAUCCAUUGCUAGAAAAAUGUAAUAAGAUUUUUCUUAAAAGUGCCUCCCGGCUUGAUUUACACAAUAUUAGUAUUAUUUUUGGAGUGUAUGAGCAGCUGGGUUUUGACAGUGCUGAAUUCAGCUUGGUUGCUAAACAGCUGCUGUCUGAAUCGAUAGAUGAUUAUCAUGAUCCUGAAACCUUUGCAAAAUUAUUUUUUAUUCUUGCGCCUAUGGCUGGAUCCAAGGUGAGAGAAAGGUUGCUAGUAACUGCAGUGCACGUGGCAGAAGGAUUUAGCAGUCAUCAGGUGUUGUUGAUACUAAAGACCAUGCAGAAAAUGAGAUGUAGAAAUUCUCAUCUACUCAAAAAAAUGGUUUCUGUUCUGCACAAACACUUGGAUAGCUAUCAUGUAUUACAGUUGAUAAAGUUAACACAGUAUUUGAUGUUGUUGCGUUGCCACGAUCAGGAGCUGUUUGCCAAACUAAAAAUGUUGCUAUUUGGCUUUUUAAAAUCUAGUGUCAUACCUGCUGAUACCGCUGCAAUAAUUCGUGUUCUGGCCUUGCUUCCUUCGUCUCAAGUAGAAGAAAUCAUUGUAAACAAGGCAACAGCAAUUCUACCUCAGUGCAGUCUCCAUCAUUUGAAUUAUAUUGCUACAGCACUUGUCAAAUGGAAUCACUAUGACCAGUUGCACUGGCAAAACACUUCAGAGCUAUGUGUAAAGCUUCUGCAGAAAAUAAAUGACUGUGGAUUUCAGAGGCUUCACAAAGCUGGGAACUUAAAUCUUCUGUUGGAAGAACUCACACAUGUGAAUGGAGAGUGGUUUCAGGAGGUCAUCAGGGGGGAAACUGUGGCCACAUGUCAGCGCUUGAUAGACCAAAUAACAUGGGCAAAUGUAUUACAGUUGUCUUUUUUUCUCAUAAAAACAAACCACCGCUGUCCUUCAUUACUUGACAGAAUAGCAUCUGUGACUGUUGAAAAUACAGACAAGAUCCACCCCUUUGAAAUGUAUUUUAUUCUCUGCCUUUUCUCUAUUCUGAACUAUGAUCCACCUGGCAAUGAAGAGUUCUUUGAGAGUUGUAUCCAACAUCUUACUUCUAACUUGAGUUGUUUUGAAACUCACCACUUGGUGCUGCUUGGUCAUGUUUUGGCAGUGGCUGGUUAUUUUCCUCCAGCUCUGAUAAAGACAAUAUUUAAUGUUUCUUUCCUAAGCAAAUUGGAUGCUCAACUUGAAGUGCUGUCUGAUACCUUAAAGCAGAGGGUCCGCUCACGCCUUAUGAAACUGAACAGAGCAGUCUGUCUGGAAUGCCCAGAGUUUCACAUCCCUUGGUUUCAUGAGCACUAUUGCCAUCAUAUCUUUUAUACAGGUAGGAGCCGAAUAAAUCCACUGCGACAGCACGUUCACAAAAUGCUGGCAGAGAUCUUAGGAGGGAGCCAUUAUACAAGAGUGUCUGUUCUCACACCAUACUACUAUGAAAUAGAUUUUGAGUGCAUUCUGGAUAAAAAUAAAAAGCCUCUUUCCUAUAUGGCUCAGAAUAUGCUUCUGGGUGCUUUGGAGGGAGUACACUGGAGACGUGACAUCAAGGUUGAAGGUAGAAAGGCUCUGCCACCAGGGGCUCAGAGAAUUGCUUUGGAACUUCUUGAUUCAAAAGCUUUUAUCAAAGAUUCACAUCACCUGAAAGGAGAAGCUGCAGUGAAAAAACGACACCUGGAAAUGCUGGGGUACCGGGUCAUUCAGAACAGAGAUAACAUGGGUGACUGUGUCAGGGGAGGGUGUUGUGUGGUGAGGAACCUCCAGCUGCUUGCUUUUUCUACCCUGUGAUGUGGUGUGUGCACAAGAAGUAAUGGCUUGAGCCUUCUGGAAUGCCUUCACAUACCUGAAAGGUGGUCUUCAAGUAGCAACUAUGGAGUGUAAAAAGGUAGCAGUGGCUGUAGAUGGAGUGAUCAGUCAUGGACAGUCAUGUGCCUGGGCCGGACCCUGCAUUUCAGCCCAAAGAGGCACCUGGCUGAUGGCAGUGGAGGAAGGGCAACCCACUCACCAGCAAUGCUGUCCAGCUGAAAGAGCAUCACAACAGAAGAUUUAGAAAAGGCAAGUAGUAGAAAUUCAUGCAACAAAAACUGUUCCACAGAAUAAAUCUAAUCAUAGAUCAGGUAAUUCUUUUUCCAGAAGUGUGUUCCACAGUCAAGGUCUGCAUGGUAAAAUGCAUCUCCCAGAUUUGUCAGACCACUCCUGUUGGACAAGACAUUUUAUUGCAAUGGUAAAAUGUAGAUCGUGGCCAUGGAUUGCCCCUGUAGCUAGAUCUAGGUAGCGUACUGAGGACAAAAUGUACGCAUCACAGGUCACAGCCUGUUCAUUGUAUCAGUCUCGAAGAUGACAUCUGUACUGUUGAUAGGGCACUAAACUAGUCAUGCAUUUUUGAGCUAUUGGCAGCCUGGUUUUGUCUUGGGCUGCUAGCUACCAAACAAAAUGUCAACAGGUUAUAGUAACAGAGUAACAGGUGCAUCACUGGUAGAGAAAGGGACAAUAGUAAGUGAAUGUUGGUAUGGUCCACAUUGACAUUUUAGAGGGAACCACAGCCUCAUGGGUAAUGCAGAAAAGUAUUUUAACUAUACAUAGUAACAGCAGCAAGCAGUCUUAAAGAUGACAAGUGAGAAAGGAUUUGGGGAAAUGGAUUUAGACUUAUAAAGUAGGAUUUUGAAAAUUUCAUUAAUUUUUAGUGUCAAUGUAGAGGUUUAGUUUUUCAGGGGCCCCUUUCUAGUAGCCUAAGACUGAUUAUUCAGUUCUGAAUUAUAUACAUUAUUGACAUCAAUGUGGUAUUUCUAUUGGAAGAAGUAACAAGUUCUGCACUUCACUGAAUAAUGUUUUACACCUGCACAGGGACGUGAGCAGUGUCCUCUCUAGCAAACUGACUUUCCUCUCACAGGUAUAACAGAUUCCUGAAACCGGCCCUUUCAUUGUGUGUGAAAUCACAGUGAGCCUUAGUGCUAUGAACACUUAAUAUUUGCAUUUUAGAUAUAUGAAGGCUUUAAAAUUCUAUCACCACCUAUCCCUCUGUUUUAUUUCAUAUUGGCAUCGGACCUACUUUCACUCUUUUAGGUCAAUGUGCCUAAAGACAAGCUGUAGCCAGCAGCAUAUUGCAUAAUUCAUUAGAAGAUCAUUUAAGUAUCAAAGAACAUGUAGCCAGAUAGCUAAAAAUACAACAGAAUUAGUUUAUGAUAUAAGCAUGCCAAAUGGUAAUUCUGCUACUUUUCUGAAAUACAUCAUGGGAGUUACAAUUUAUACAGAUUUACAAAGUCAAGAAAAAAAAAAUGCAUUCAUAGUUGGAACAUUGUAUUUAGUCUACUGGCAUCAACAGUUUGUGAGAACAACCUUCUACCUAUAAAUAACAUAUUUUGGAAUGCCCUUAUGUUUUCAAACGAAAAUGUGACAAAUUUGGAAUUUUGGCGAAAAAAGUGACAUUUAAAAUACAUUAUUAUGGUCAUAAAAAUAUUUCAGAUACAAAAAACAACAAAAAAAGAUUGUAUCUAAAGAAGCUAAGUACUCAACUUUCAUGGAACUUAAAUUCACAGAAGACAUUCAACAAUAAUUAGUCUUAACUUUAGGCACCUGUACAACAACAAAUCAGGACCUUAAUGAAAGCUAGUGCCUGGAUAUAAUAUGCUAGUUAAUCUUUUCUGAGAUCUCACCAUGGACUUAAUCUUGAAAGAGAAGAUGCAGGUCCCUUGGUUUCACUUACCUUUAUGAGACAGGAAUAACUUUCUAUAGGAAUUUUUCUCCACUGACCAGAGACUAGACAAUUCACUUGCAAAGACUCCAAAUACUUUUCAGUGACUCUUACAAGCACCUAUUAUUGCACCAAUAAUUAUAAAGCUUAUACCUGGAAGAAGUACGAUUGGAAAGGCUGAUCCUUGUUCUCCUCUUCCACAUACAGUCCUCCAACAACGUAGACCUGAUUUUGUUUGGUGACUAUACUGGAAUGAUU